rnacentral:rRNA from 1 species
UACGUAGGGGGCUAGCGUUGUCCGGAUUUAUUGGGCGUAAAGAGCGUGUAGGCGGCCAGGUAGGUCUGGUGUGAAAAUUCGAGGCUUAACCUCGAGAUGUCAUCGGAAACCAUUUGGCUAGAGUCCGGAAGAGGAGAGUGGAAUUCCUGGUGUAGCGGUGAAAUGCGCAGAUAUCAGGAAGAACACCAAUGGCGAAAGCAGCUCUCUGGGACGGUACUGACGCUGAGACGCGAAAGCGUGGGGAGCAAACAGG